UACGUAGGGAGCAAGCGUUGUCCGGAAUCAUUGGGCGUAAAGCGCGCGUAGGUGGCUUCGUAAGUCCGUUGUGAAAGUCCAGGGCUCAACCCUGGAAGGCCGGUGGAAACUGUCGGGCUAGAGUCCGGAAGAGGCGAGUGGAAUUCCCGGUGUAGCGGUGAAAUGCGCAGAUAUCGGGAGGAACACCAAUGGCGAAGGCAGCUCGCUGGGACGGUACUGACGCUGAGACGCGAAAGCGUGGGGAGCAAACAGG
rnacentral:rRNA from 1 species